rnacentral:rRNA from 1 species
UACGUAGGGUGCGAGCGUUGUCCGGAAUUACUGGGCGUAAAGAGCUCGUAGGUGGUUUGUCGCGUCGUCUGUGAAUUCCGGGCUUAACUCCGGGCGUGCAGCGAUACGGGCAUAACUUGAGUGCUGUAGGGGAGACUGGAAUUCCUGGUGUAGCGGUGAAAUGCGCAGAUAUCAGGAGGAACACCGAUGGCGAAGGCAGGUCUCUGGGCAGUAACUGACGCUGAGGAGCGAAAGCAUGGGUAGCGAACAGGAUUAGAUACCCGCGUAGUCC